rnacentral:rRNA from 1 species
UACAGAGGUGGCAAGCGUUGUUCGGAAUUACUGGGCGUAAAGGGCGCGUAGGCGGUCCUGUAAGUCCCGUGUGAAAUCCCCCGGCUCAACUGGGGAAUGGCCCGGGAGACUGCGGGGCUUGAGUUCGGGAGAGGGAAGCGGAAUUCCGGGUGUAGCGGUGAAAUGCGUAGAUAUCCGGAGGAACACCGGUGGCGAAGGCGGCUUCCUGGACCGACACUGACGCUUAGGCGCGAAAGCUAGGGGAGCAAACGGG